UGACGCUGCUCGCAGGCCACAGCUGGCAGGGGUCCUCUCUCUCUCGUUUGCGACACGGCCAUCGGCCCGUACCGAGUGCUAUCGCUUCCCGGCCACAGUUUCGCAUCCACGUGCGUGAAAGGGCGCGAAAUGUGGAACCGCGGAAGUCGGUGGCACGCGCAAUUAGCGUCAGGCUAACCAGUGGCGUAUUGCUUCCAGUUCAUCUGGCUACGCUGAAGCACGGACGCUGCCUUCGGUCCGCGGCGCGUUGCGGCCAAAGUACGCGGCCACUUUUCUUUCUUUUCCAUUCCUUGUGCCACGCCGUGUUUUUGUCGCUCGACGCGCGGACCACGUUUGAAGAGUUCAUCUCCCACGGCUCGUGCGAUGACGCUUGUCAAAAUUUCAGGUACACACCCUAGGCCUCCGCUUCCAGCGCACUCCUGCAACGUCCCUGCGCCCUGCCGUGUCCCAGACGGAUGACGUCCAUCGCCUGUCGUGCCGCGGCUGACCGUCUGUACACUCAUGCUCCAGCCACACAGCUACUGGUUUCCUGGCCAACGACGAAACCUGCGCGACCCGCCCUGCAGUACGUCGACUGCGCUUCCCCAGCCUUUGCCAUCAGUCUCGUACGGCGGAUGUUCCUGCACCCUGACGUGUCCCAGAGGAACGACGUUCAUCGCCUGUUGUCCCACGGUUGACCCUCUGUGCACUUCUCCUGCAGCCACACAGCUACUGGUUUCCUGGCCAAUGAAGAACCCUGCAGUACGUCGACUGCGCGUAGUCUGCAACCCUUGUCUUGACAUCCGCCUCCCCUGAAGAUUUGUCCCGCCUGCGUAGUAGGCCAUGACGUCCAGUGCUCAUCGUAGUGCGGCAAGCCUUGCUCACGAGACAGUUCGUCACAUUGCUACGCCCGCUGACGUUGAGCUGGUGGAAAAGUCCCUCUCUGCCAUUCUCGGUGCUGCCUCGAUGACGCUGCACAACUACGGAGUCGUGACGCGAACACCGAUCACGGCAUCCCUGUGAGAGUUCUUUCCGUCCGGUAGCUGUAUCAUGGCCGUUCCAUAAAGACUCGUAUUCAUAGCCCCUGACUGUUUGACGAGCAGACCAAAACAAUUCCACGUAACAUGCUGGCUCAUCUGCGGUACACUGCUCAGUCAAUCUGUAGGUUGGUGCACGUUAAUUCACAUCGUGUGCCCUCAUAAUGGUACGCUGAUGCUGGUUCGCAUGGUAAAGUUGCGCGCGCGCGCGUUUGUGUGUGUGUGUGUGUGUGUGUGUGUGUGUGUGUGUGUGUGUGUGUGUGUGUGUGUGUGUGUGUGUGUGUGUGUGUGUGUGUGUGUGUGUGUGUGUGUGCUGGGUGCGUUCUUACCUCGUCUCAUCUGUGAAUUCUUGAGAAAGCUCGUCGAUGGUUCCACAGUGAUGGUCGCCAAUUUUUUUCCAAAAUCCUUCCAACUUUGGCUCUGGGCGUUACCCUUAAUUGAAGGGCGUCCAGUGGUGUAUUUGGCUGUGGCCCUUACCUCGUCACCUUUUCUAAUCCAAGGGGUCCCUGUUCGUAUAUUUUCUCUGUCCAUAUCUUCCUUGUUUAUCAAGUUAUUCAUAAUGACUAAUGCGAAGCAUCAGCGUACCGUUACAAAAAGCAUACGGUGUGAAGUAAAGGCAAUAACACAUUUCCGCUAGCUUGUGAGCAUCAUUCGUAUCCGCAUAUCCUUUGAAAUAGUGCUGGCAUGGCACCAAGCUUAUAUUCAAAAACCUGUCUACACUCAUUAUUCAUGUUAGCGCUAAAGCUGCGUACCACUACACAGCCAAGAAAAGCAGAUCCUCGACCUCCCUUCAGCAAGAUUGGACAUUGAUCGGACGCCACCACCGCACGUGGCUGCGAUGUUAAGUCUUGAUCACUGUUUCAUCACCGUUACUUUUGUACUUCGCUGUUCGCUGUCCUGUGUAAAUUUACCUGCUUACAUCCACUUGUACUUUUCUAUAACAUGUACUUGCUGUACAAUAUUCAUUGGAAAUUAAUGAUGAUGACAAUAUGUACUUAUUGAGGGAUGGCUCGAAGGCCCAUAAUGGGCCUAAUAAUGGACUUAAUAAAAUGACGAAGGUGUUCUUCAGGAACAUUUCCCAUGUGUGAAGAACACUGUACAGUUGUAAACAGUUUGACUUUUUCUAAUGCAUAUUCUUGUCAACUCGGCGUUCACUGGAGUUCUAUGCGAAUUGAAAUAAAAUUUUGGACAUAGUUCCAGA